rnacentral:misc_RNA from 1 species
GCAAACUUGGUCAUUUAGAGGAAGUAAAAGUCGUAACAAGGUCUCCGUUGGUGAACCAGCGGAGGGAUCAUUAUUGAGUUGUAAAACUCCCAACCCUAUGUGAAUUUACCUCUAUUGUUGCUUCGGUAGGCAGUCCCAGGGGGGGCUAUCGCCUUUUGGUGCCUGCCGGAGGUUUUUUUUAAGCUCUGUUUUAUAGUGUCAUACUCUGAGUUAUCAUACAAAUGAGUCAAAACUUUCAGCAACGGAUCUCUUGGUUCUGGCAUCGAUGAAGAACGCAGC